GGGUCUUUAGCUCAGCGGUAGAGCGGCAGACUUCGGCUUUGUUCCGAAGUGUUCCUGGUAACCUUCCGGUCUUCUGCAGGUCGCGGGUUCAAUCCCCGUAGGACUCU